rnacentral:lncRNA from 1 species
ACUUUAUGGAAAAAUAAAAAUAAAAAUAAAUUUCUGAGAUAUAUUGAGAGGAAAAAUAUUGUAUCGAAGGAACAAUAAUUUUGUCAAAAUGGUUGUUAUUCUUUACUGCAUGUCAUUUUCAAUAAUUUCAACUAUAGCAGCUACUAACAAACUUUAUAGUAGAUUUUGUUUCCAAAGGAAAAGCUAGAGGGGGGAGAUACCUGUCCUCGAGGUCUGGAACCCAAUAUCAACCCC